AUUCCACAUUCUACAGAGAGGCUGUCAUCCUCUGUUACAUUCUGUAGGUCUUUAGCAGAAGGACUGAACCCUAUUUUGUUUCAUCCUUAUUAAAUGCUAUAGGACCUGGUCAUUAGAGCACAGCCAGAGUGGGACCCUAAAGGUGGAAAACUCUGUAUCCUGUUCCAUUCAGGUGCCCCCAGCCUGGGCUGGAUUGGAAACAAUGCCCUAAACACCAAUCUCAAGCUCUCCUGAGCCAUCCAAUCGCCCCUCGCCCUGAGCCUGGGUUGGAACUGGGGCCCUGCCAGUAAAAGGGUUUGUAUAUUCUCCCCCUGACCUGAGACUGGGUUGGAUCUAGUGGUGACAGCUAUGUAUCCUAUUCCCUGAUCUCCCGGAGCCAGGCCAUCCCCUGGCCUUGGCUUUGGGGAUUCUGGAUGAGUUGUCAGUUAAAUUUGAAUGCCUUCGAUGGAGUCCGAGCUCAUGCUAUGGCCAUAGGAAAGAUCAGCUUCUCCCGGUUUGCAUUAAGGUCUCAGCUUUGACCUAUGAACUCGGUGUGGUCAUUGUUACCAUAGCCUGGUCCCAGAUGGACUCUCCCACCCUAUCCUUAGAGUGUGAAAGUUUUCUGCCUCUCUACCCUAAUAUUGUCUGUUUCCACCUGCCUGUGUGUGUGUCCAUCCCUGUCUCCAGGUAUACAGUAUGUUCAGCUAUCCCAAGGAGUAUCUCUACAUCAUCAGAGACAGUUACAAUGACCCCUGUGAUGGUCACAGGCAUUGCAGGAGGAGUCCUGAGGCUUCUGCUUCUUGAGGGACCUCUAGUUCUCCUUAUCGGAUGACUGAGACUCCUACAACUCCUUCUACAACUACUACUCCACCUUUCAUGCAUGAAUAUUAUCACACCUAUUCCUAUGCUGUAUCGCUACCUGAUCUAUAUGAACUUUUGAAGAACACAGGGCUGAAACUUUUAACCAACCUUAAAAUCAAGUCUCCCAUUGAGUGCGCAGUGGGACCACCUACCAUGGAGUCCUCAUGAGUACGUCUUGUUUUAUCACUAUUGCCUUUGAUAAUAAUGAGCUGCUGGAUAGCCCAAGGAAAGUGAGAGUAUGAAAGAGGCUUAAGAUGUUGGUCACAUGGGACCAUGUCCAGAGUAUUGGAGAGGGCUUCCAGAAAUGGACAGCUAUGGUGGUACCUGUGAGCCACACUUCGGGCACUGAGGCGGACGUGGUUAAGAACAGUAACGAGCCAGAAGGCAAUGAGGCAGUGCAGGCAGGCACCUGGUUCCCGGAGACCUUCCUGUGGAGUCUGGUUCCCAUCAAUGACUCGGGGGCUGCUGAGCUGCCGCACAACCACUGACUGGAAGGCCAUGACUUUCUGUACCUCAGAGCACAGUGGUUUGGGAAUCUCUGAGACCAUCAGCCUGUGGACCUUCAAGCCCUUCUUUGUGGAACUGACCUUGCCCUAUUCUGUGAUCGGGGGGGGAGUCAUUCCCCCUGAAGGUCAAAGUGUUCAGCUACCUAACGCAGUGCAUGGGGAUCCUACUUAACCUAAAGGACUCUGGGGAUAUUGAGUUCAUGCGAUCGAAUGUCAAUUUCACCGCCUGCCUCUGCCCUAAUUUGGCAAAAACCUUCUCCUGGGAUGUGAACACUACAAAACUGGUAUUUCCCAUUCUGAGCCUGUUUGCACUCUCCCGCCAAGCAGAGGGACUGCCAGAGGAGAAC